AAAGAAUUUUGGGACAAAAAAAGGAAAGAAAUCAUAGUGUAAAGCAAAGUGUUGUAACGGACAGAAUCUGUUACUGUUAAUUUACUGUUUUUGGAGCACUAGUGUGAUGUUUUGGGUCAUGUGUAGUUUCAUCAAGAGCCACUUGAGGGUGCUAUUGCCAGAUGGUAACCUAUAUAAACACACCUACCAUAGAGGAAGAGAGUUCGUUUGGUAGAGGGAAAUCCAUUGUUUGGUUAACCUCAUGCUACCUACUGAAUUUUGUUGAUGGUCCUUUGUUGAGAACCUUGAGUUUCUGCUCAACUAAAGGACUUUUUGUUCACAUGUUCUGUUAUGAACAUUGAGCAGAGGAAUGGACAGUAAAGCCAAGUGGAAACUCCAUUGGCAAUGAGACUACACCACAUGGACAGUAUCGGGGUACAGGGAACAAACAUUGCACUGGCUACUGUGAUGUAGGAUGUGACUUUUUCUCACAUUGGUGGAUAGUUGGAUCACAAUCAUUGCAUCGCACUCAAAAUUGACCUUGUGGAGUAUAUGUUCAUCGUCAUCAUCAUCAGCAUCAUCAAUGUAACCUCUCAAAGGACUGGACAUAUCAGAGUUAAGUUUACUUCAUUGAAUGGCUUCAUUGUUAAAGAGAUGGAGAUCUUGAGAGUGCUUUGUUAUCUGUUUAUUGAGAGUUUGGCACAUGGAUUUAGCACAGUGGUGUAAAUAAAAGAGGUUUAAUGUUA